GGUUAAGUUAGAAAGGGCGCACGGUGGAUGCCUUGGCACUAGGAGCCGAAGAAGGACGGGACUAACACCGAUAUGCUUUGGGGAGCUGUACGUAAGCGUUGAUCCAGAGAUUUCCGAAUGGGGGAACCCACUAUCUUUAGUCGGAUAGUAUCCUUACGUGAAUACAUAGCGUGAGGAAGGCAGACCCAGGGAACUGAAACAUCUAAGUACCUGGAGGAAGAGAAAGAAAAAUCGAUUUCCUGAGUAGCGGCGAGCGAAACGGAAAGAGCCCAAACCAAGAAGCUUGCUUCUUGGGGUUGUAGGACACUCUAUACGGAGUUACAAAAGAAAGUUAUAAAUGAAGCGGUCUGGAAAGGCCCGCCAAAGACGGUAACAGCCCGGUAGUUGAAAUGGCUUUCCCUCCAGAGUGGAUCCUGAGUACGGCGGAACACGUGAAAUUCCGUCGGAAUCCGGGAGGACCAUCUCCCAAGGCUAAAUACUCCCUAGUGACCGAUAGUGAACCAGUACCGUGAGGGAAAGGUGAAAAGCACCCCGGAAGGGGAGUGAAACAGUUCCUGAAACCGUGUGCCUACAAGUAGUUAGAGCCCGUUAAUGGGUGAUAGCGUGCCUUUUGUAGAAUGAACCGGCGAGUUACGAUUUGUUGCAAGGUUAAGCGGAAAAAGCGGAGCCGUAGCGAAAGCGAGUCUGAAUAGGGCGCAUAAGUAACAGGUCGUAGACCCGAAACCAGGUGAUCUACCCAUGUCCAGGAUGAAGGUAAGGUAAUACUUACUGGAGGUCCGAACCCACGCACGUUGAAAAGUGCGGGGAUGAGGUGUGGGUAGCGGAGAAAUUCCAAUCGAACUUGGAGAUAGCUGGUUCUCUCCGAAAUAGCUUUAGGGCUAGCCUCGAGGUAAAGAGUCAUGGAGGUAGAGCACUGUUUGGACUAGGGGCCCUUCUCGGGUUACCGAAUUCAGAUAAACUCCGAAUGCCAUGUACUUAUACUCGGGAGUCAGACUGCGAGUGAUAAGAUCCGUAGUCGAAAGGGAAACAGCCCAGACCACCAGUUAAGGUCCCCAAAUAUAUGUUAAGUGGAAAAGGAUGUGGGGUUGCUUAGACAACCAGGAUGUUGGCUUAGAAGCAGCCACCAUUGAAAGAGUGCGUAAUAGCUCACUGGUCGAGUGACCCCGCGCCGAAAAUGUACCGGGGCUAAACAUAUUACCGAAACUGUGGAUGAACCUCUUUAGAGGUUCGUGGUAGGAGAGCGUUCUAAGGGCGGUGAAGUCAGACCGGAAGGACUGGUGGAGCGCUUAGAAGUGAGAAUGCCGGUAUGAGUAGCGAAAGAAGGGUGAGAAUCCCUUCCACCGAAUAUCUAAGGUUUCCUGAGGAAGGCUCGUCCGCUCAGGGUUAGUCGGGACCUAAGCCGAGGCCGAUAGGCGUAGGCGAUGGACAACAGGUAGAGAUUCCUGUACCAGUGCUAAUUGUUUAACCGAUGGGGUGACACAGAAGGAUAGGGAAUCGCACGAAUGGAAAUGUGCGUCCAAGCAGUGAGUGUGAGAAGUAGGCAAAUCCGCUUCUCGCGAAGCAUGAGCUGUGAUGGGGAA
rnacentral:rRNA from 1 species